rnacentral:lncRNA from 1 species
UGUCCAUCAACUGAUGAAUCAACAAUGAAAAUGUAGUAUAAUAUGUAGUAUAGUUAAUGGCAUUUUCACAGUUGAUCAUAGAUACUUAGAAUUCAAAAUAAUCCCAGGAAAGUGAGCUUCCUUCUGGUCAGUAUGGUUCCAUUUUGUUCAUAUUGCCUCCAAAUUAUUUUAAGCAACAUUUUGUCUAAACGUGUCUCCAUGCCCUCUCUGUUCAGAGAACAGAGAUGGCAUCAGUUUGGUGCCUGUCCUUGGGAAUGUCCUCCCCCUGGAGCCGUCAUGCUGAAUUUCUGCCCACGGGGGUCCACACGGAAGGCCUGCAUUGAGCUGAGAGGAGAGAGCUACAUAGUUGACAGACUCACUCCAGUCCAUGCAAGGCAAGGGACUCUGGGUGAAGAGUGAAGACCCAGUAGAUGACUCUUCCAGCAUCCCAAGGCUGAAAAAAAUGACAAAGCAGAAUUUGAACUCAGAUUGCUUCAUGGUCCAGUAUUCACGUCUAAUCAAGGGCUCACAAAAAUGUCUAGAAUUUUGUAUAGAAGAUUAUAUAUUUAUCAGAUAUUUCUAGAAGGGAGAACAAAUUUGAAAGCUAUCGUAAAUAUUCUUAAAAGAGGAAAAAGAUUAUAAUUUUAAAAUAUUUGAUAUAAUAAAAGAUUGUUGUGACCAUGGAUACUAGUUAUCUGUGAAAACUAGUGGGUUAUGUUUUUAUUGUUGUAUCUAAAAUCUCAGCCAACCCCAGAGAAACCAGAUUUGUCUCCAGUAUUUUCUUCUAGAAUCUUAUAAUUU